rfam:Salmo salar isolate Sally breed double haploid chromosome ssa10, whole genome shotgun sequence.
AAUGCACCAAUUUGUAAGUCGCUCUGCUAAUUUGUAAGAGCGUCUGCUAAAUGACUUAAA